GGUCGAGACUGGGCACACAGCUCGUGGUCUGCUAGCUAGCUUGUUACCUCGUUUUUUUCCCUCCUAACAAAGGUUUCUGGAGAUUUUGCUUUUUAAUUCUUUCUGUUUGAAAGAAAAAGAGACGGCAUUUUUCAAGCAAUGCGCAUUACAACGUUUUAAUAGCAGCCUUUUACCUGCUAUCUUAUUCACUUUUCUAUCCUCCGUUUUUUAGCUAGGCUGCUAUCUAGCUUUGUUACCACGUUUUUUUUCCCUAACAAAGCCCUUUGGAGAUUUUGCUUUUUAAUUCUUUCUGUUUGAAAGAAAAAGAGACGGCAUUUUUCCAGCAAUGCGCAUUACAACGUUUUAAUAGCAGCCUUUUACCUGCUAUCUUAUUCACUUUUCUAUCCUGCAUUUUGUAGUUAGUCUGUUGGCUAGCUGUGCUACCACGUUUUUUCCCUAACAAAGCCCUUUGGAGAUUUUGCUUUUUAAUUCUUUCUGUUUGAAAGAAAAAAGAGACGGCAUUUUUUCAGCAACAUCUACAUCUACAAGGGGUAAGUCUUUUUUUUUUUUUUUAAAAACCAUAGCUUCUGUUUAAGCAUAUUGUAAGGUAUUUAAUGCGUUUGUAAGAUAUUUAAUGCAUUCAGUCAUUUAUGAAUUUAAAAAAGGCUGUUGGAGGUUGUCCCUUAUGACGCUAGUAAAAAGGUGUUAAAAUAAAAAACGGUCGUUAGAUCUUUUAAAAAAUGGGGUUUUGCUAUUGGUGACUUGUAAAAACGCCCUGCAGGGGUGUGUCUUGUAGGGGUUAAACCUCGUGUUUCAAGGUGCACGGCUCACUUUUUAACAAAGCAUUUUAGCUAGUCUACUAGCUAGCUUUGUUACCACGUUUUUUCCGUGUUCCACGGUACCUGGCUAGCUUUUUAACAAGCAUUUUAGCUAGUCUACUGACUAACUUUUUACCUCGUUUUUCACAGCCUUCCUCAACAAAGCCCUUUGGAGAUUUUGCUUUUUAAUUAUUUUUGUUUGAAAGAAAGAAAGAGAGAGACUUCGUUUUUUUGCAGCUAUGCAUACAUGUGCUUGCGUCAUUAGGUACUGUGUCUAGACAAUCCCCCGGAGAACAAAGGAUCCGGUCGAAGGAUAGACGUCUUAAGCAUAAGAAGAGAGCUGUUGAGGUUGAAAAGACAACCCAAGAAGGCUUCCCGCCCAAAAGGCCCCGCCAUACCUCUGUUCAACCCUCGCCUUCCCUGAACGCGGUAUCUAAUGGUUCUGCCGCUGACGCCGAGCAACUAAAGGCGGUCUCAGACCUAGUGACUUUGCAUUUGGCAUCUGAGGAGGGGGAUUUCACGCAGUUUCCACCGUGGAUCCUCAACAUCACUUAUUUUAUCCUCCGUUUUUUAGCUAGUCUGCUAGCUAGCUUGUUACCACGUUUUUUCCCUAACAAAGUCAGCCUGUGUUGUUUUUUUUUUUAAUUCUUUUUUUUGUGAAAGCAAAGAGGAUUCUUUUCCAGCAACAUCUACAAGGGCCUUCCUCAACAAAGACCUCUGGAGUUUUUUGCUUUUUAAUUAUUUUUGUUUGAAAGAAAGAAAGAGACUGCGUUUUUGCAACUAUGCAUACAUGUGAAAAUGUAAAGUCCCAAGGCUAUCAGACGGCUUACAACUUGCCAGACCUGAACCAGGUGAUCAACUUACAAGAGGAGAAAAGUUGACAUUUAAUUGCCCCCCGGCCUGCAGACUAAGCGUGAAAGCAGUGGAUGACUGUUUAGCAGGCGGUCAAUGGAGUGACUCCUUUCCAACAUGUGGAGGUAAAUCAAGGCUCUUCUUUUCCCCUUGCUCUUUAUCUAGAUGUUUCUCACAGAGCACCGUAAUCUCACAAUGCAUGAUUUGCACUAUUUAUCCUGUGUUCUACAUUUUACAAAUCAUGUUUGUGAUGUGCUAUUUUUUCUUCUUCUAGUACACAUUAAUAAUACUUACUGUUUCUGGUAUCAACAUUAAUCCAACUUAAAGUUAAAUAAAGUUUGAAUUAACACAUCUUUUAAAGGGGUUUGAACAAGACCUGAACAUUGAAACCUUCAUGUAUAGUGUGUAUUGCAGAGCGACUGUAUACGACUAUUGGUUUUAGCUUUUUCUAUGAAAUAACUUAUUUUUUUAUUUUUUUUGUGGGGGUGACUGAGUAUGGGUGAUCACAAGCACAAGGGUGUGUGAACAGUAAAGUAGCAUUCAAUCCUGUGUGACCUAAUCUAAGUCUGGUAUAGACCAGUUCUUCCCUUAUGUUUAAACUCAGAGCAGUCCCCCUUUUCCAGGGCACAUUCUUCAGUAUUUUAUGAUAGCACAUGAUUACUUUCUUUUGUACUAACCUUAUAAACCAAUAGGGGGAUAGUUUUUAUUGUUAGCUGCCAUCGUCUGUCAUUGCUACAGUGUUGACUUCCUAUAUUACCUUCUAACAGCUGUAUUCUCAGUAAUGGACAUGUUUUGAUGUGAUUCUCCAUGUUGACAUGUUGACUGAUUUGGGUAUAUGGAGAGAAAUUAAUUAUAUUUUCUUUUUAUUCUAGCCUUAUAAACCAAUAUGGUAGAUAGUUACGUGUAAACAUCCUAGGUUAACCAAUAUUGUAUUAGUUCUCUACCCGUGUAACAUAUGCCAAAAACAGUAACAGAUGAAGUCAAGUACAUGUACAUUUUAGUGCUUGUAAGGAAUUGAUACCUGUAUGGUAUAUUAGCACUUCACAGAGGAAAAUCCCAACCAUUACAUGUGUAAAGGGUUGUAGGACUGUUUAUAAAAUAAGAAGACAUUUGGGUUUUCGGUUUUGUUGUGUGAGGAUGUUGUAUUUUAGACGGUGACGUUCAUGGGUUUUUUUUUGUUUGUUUUUUUAAACUGUACCCAUUUAUGUUUUUAGGUCACCUGCAAAGUUUGUCAUUCCUUCACCUCAGGUAUGUUUAUACAAGCACUGUCGCUGUUUAAACAAGGCAUUAGCUGAUGAGUUGCUAAUGGCAUGAAUAGUUUGAAAGUUACCAACGCAUAAAAAUAAAAGUGGUUGUACGCUGAGGUAACCAAUACCUUGAGGGGGGGGUUCAAUUUUAAUUUAUUAUUGUUGCAUGCAUUUUUCUGUAUGGCUCUUUAAAAAAAUAAAAAAUAAAACAAAUGACAUUGUAAGAUUAAUAUAUUCUGCAUUCUUUAUUGGAAAACAUCAUUACACAAUACUUUUUACCUAUAGGUAGCGCAUGAACAUUGUACACAUUUAAAUUUCUGAUCGUGACACACAUUGGGAUGUAUUCUGCUAACAAAAUGACUAACCAUCGUGUCGUUGCAUACAAGAUUAGUGCCAUACAUGUUCAAUACUUUUGUAUAAGGAAUUUUUUUCUGAAUAUGACAUAAAAAGAAAAUGCAUUCAUCAGAUAAAAUUAAAACACAUUCAUUUAAUGCUACAGGUUACAUUCAACACUGUCUUUUCACAUCCUUGAAUAAAGAAAAUACCCCUCAAUAGAAAAAAUAAUAAAAAAAAUAGGUUAAAAAAGGAAAAUAUAAAAUUAAAAUGUAAACACAUUCCUUUAAUGUUACAGGUUACAUUCAACACUGACUUUUCACAUCCUUGAAUAAAGAAAAUACCCCUCAAAAGAAAAAAACCCUCAAUAGAA